GGAGAGGUGUUCCUAAUAAAGUGCUCGCUGAGUGUAACUCCCCAGCUGUCGCAGCAAUCUUUCUUUUUUCUCACCUCAGCUUCAGUGUCUGCUGAAAUGUGGAGACAGAGGGCAGUGACAGGAGUCUAUUCAACGUUCAGCAAAUUUAUUCUUAGUGUCUCCGACUCUGUUGGAAUAAUGUUGCGUCCUUAGGAUUGAGGAAUUCUGCUUUCGUUUAGAAAGGUCUGCCCUGGCAAUCUUCCCACCAACAUGUUGGGCUUCAUGAGAUCCCAGAGACCUUGGCACUGACUGCUGGGUGACCGGCUCUUGACAUGGGCUUCCGGUCACGGCGUCGUGCAGAGCCCUGCGAAAAAGCACCGGAAAACUCUAGGGCCAACUCUAAACAGCUGGAAUGGCCACCGACUGUUAUCGCAGCCGUUACAACUCAAAUGGCAAAUACAGGUUGCUGCCAAAGCCCGGUGGAAGGGGAGCAAAAGCUCUUAAUCCUCGACAGAAGUGGAUUUCAUUUAAUUGGAGGAGCAUUUAAUCAUUUGGCAGACGCUUUUUUUCCAAAGCGUCUUACAAUUGAGGAAACUUGGGGUUCAGUGUCGUGCCCAAGGACACUUUGGCACACGGACAGGAGGAGCCGGGGAUCGAACUGCCAACUCUGCUCUAACACCUGAGCCACAGCCGACCCGAGUCUCACGGGUUGACUCAUCAGGCUUUCAGUACUCUGGAUGUAUGUGUGUGUGUCUUCAUUAAACUUCUGAAACAAUGUUUGGUUUUCUGUGUGUGUGUGCACAGUUUCAAUGAGAAUGGAGAUACUGUGCAUUGAAUAAUCCGCAAAAACAAAGUUCUG